rnacentral:tRNA from 1 species
GGUAAAAUAGUAUAAUAGAGAUUACAUUUCAUUUACACUGAAAAAAUUAAGUUGAUUUAUUUUACUU